CCCUUAGAUGUUCUGGGCCGCACGCGCGCUACACUGAUGCAUUCAACAAGCCUAGCCUUGACCGAGAGGUCCGGGUAAUCUUUGAAACUGCAUCGUGAUGGGGCUAGAUUAUUGCAAUUAUUAAUCUUCAACGAGGAAUGCCUAGUAAGCGUGAUUCAUCAAAUCGCGUUGAUUACGUCCCUGCCCUUUGCACACACCGCCCGUCGCUCCUACCGAUUGAAUGUGUUGGUGAGGAGCUCGGAUUGGCAGCAGUUGGUGGUUCGCCACCGGCUAUUGCUGAGAAGUCCUCCAAACCGCCCCAUUUAGAGGAAGGAGAAGUCGUANCA
rnacentral:rRNA from 1 species